rnacentral:rRNA from 1 species
UCCCCUUCGGGGGGCAAGUAGAGUGGCGCACGGGUGAGUAACACGUAGGUAAUCUACCUUCGGGUGGGGAAUAACAACCGGAAACGGUUGCUAAUACCGCAUAAUGCAGCGGCACCUAAUGGUGACAGUUGUUAAAGCGGGGGAUCGAAAGAUCUCGCGCCUGAAGAGGAGCCUGCGGCGGAUUAGCUAGUUGGUAGGGUAACGGCCUACCAAGGCGACGAUCCGUAGCCGGCCUGAGAGGGCGGUCGGCCACACUGACACUGACAUACGGGUCAGACUCCUACGGGAGGCAGCAGUCGGGAAUUUUGGGCAAUGGGCGAAAGCCUGACCCAGCAACGCCGCGUGAAGGAUGAAAUCCCUCGGGAUGUAAACUUCGCAAGAACGGGAAGAAUAAGUCUAUGUUAGUACCAUAGGCGAUGACGGUACCGUUUGUAAGCUCCGGCUAACUCCGUGCCAGCAGCCGCGGUAAUACGGGGGGAGCAAGCGUUGUUCGGAUUUACUGGGCGUAAAGGGCGCGUAGGCGGCCACCGCAAGUCAGUUGUGAAAUCUCCGAGCUUAACUCGGAAAGGUCAACUGAUACUGCGGGGCUAGAGUGCGGAAGGGGCAACUGGAAUUCUUGGUGUAGCGGUGAAAUGCGUAGAUAUCAAGAGGAACACCUGCCGGCGAAGGCGGGUUGCUGGGCCGACACUGACGCUGAGGCGCGAAAGCUAGGGGAGCGAACGGGAUUAGAUACCCCGGUAGUCCUAGCCUUAAACGAUGAAUGCUUGGUGUCUGGGGUUAUAUAGUCCCCGGGUGCCGUCGCUAACGC